GAUAAACGCUGGCGGCGCACAUAAGACAUGCAAGUCGAACGAACUUAACCCUUUGUUUACAUUGGGAGCGGUUAGUGGCGGACUGGUGAGUAACACGUAAGCAACCUGCCUAUUAGAGGGGAAUAACAGUGAGAAAUCAUUGCUAAUACCGCAUAUGCUCACAGUAUCACAUGAUACAGUGAGGAAAGGAGCAAUCCGCUAAUAGAUGGGCUUGCGUCUGAUUAGCUAGUUGGUGGGGUAACGGCCUACCAAGGCGACGAUCAGUAGCCGGACUGAGAGGUUGAACGGCCACAUUGGGACUGAGAUACGGCCCAGACUCCUACGGGAGGCAGCAGUCGGGAAUAUUGCGCAAUGGAGGAAACUCUGACGCAGUGACGCCGCGUAUAGGAAGAAGGUUUUCGGAUUGUAAACUAUUGUCGUUAGGGAAGAUAAAAGACAGUACCUAAGGAGGAAGCUCCGGCUAACUAUGUGCCAGCAGCCGCGGUAAUACAUAGGGAGCAAGCGUUAUCCGGAAUUAUUGGGUGUAAAGGGUGCGUAGACGGAGGAACAAGUUAGUUGUGAAAUCCCUCGGCUUAACUGAGGAACUGCAACUAAAACUAUUCCCCUUGAGUGUCGGAGAGGAAAGUGGAAUUCCUAGUGUAGCGGUGAAAUGCGUAGAUAUUAGGAGGAACACCAGUGGCGAAGGCGACUUUCUGGACGAUAACUGACGUUGAGGCACGAAAGUGUGGGGAGCAAACAGGAUUAGAUACCCUGGUAGUCCACACUGUAAACGAUGGAUACUAGGUGUAGGGUGUAUUAAGCACUCUGUGCCGCCGCAAACGCAUUAAGUAUCCCACCUGGGGAGUACGACCGCAAGGUUGAAACUCAAAGGAAUUGACGGGGGCCCGCACAAGCAGCGGAGUAUGUGGUUUAAUUCGAAGCAACGCGAAGAACCUUACCAGGGCUUGACAUAUACCGGAAUAUACUAGAGAUAGUAUAGUCCUUCGGGACUGGUAUACAGGUGGUGCAUGGUUGUCGUCAGCUCGUGUCGUGAGAUGUUGGGUUAAGUCCCGCAACGAGCGCAACCCCUAUCGUUAGUUGCUAGCAGGUAAAGCUGAGAACUCUAGCGAGACUGCCGGUGAUAAAUCGGAGGAAGGUGGGGAUGACGUCAAAUCAUCAUGCCCUUUAUGUCCUGGGCUACACACGUACUACAAUGGCCGCAACAGAGGGAAGCGAAAUAGUGAUAUGGAGCAAAACCCGAAAAACGGUCUCAGUUCGGAUUGAAGGCUGAAAUUCGCCUUCAUGAAGCUGGAAUUGCUAGUAAUGGCAGGUCAGCGUACUGCCGUGAAUACGUUCCCGGGCCU
rnacentral:rRNA from 1 species